UAAAGGCAGAGAGCUUCCAGAAGAAAAUGAAGGAAAAGAAUCCAUCAGGAUACAAGAUCAUGGAGAUGCUUCCACUUCUUCAGAGGCUGAAGACACUGAGGAGUAUGAAGAAGACAGUAAUAAGGCCUGCAGAGAUAUAACUCUUUUUCUAAGACCUGAACUGAACUGUGUAAAUGGCGUUGUAUUAUCUUGAAUGUCACAUCAUAAAUGGUUUCUAAUUAGGGACCUCCCUGAACACAAUAAAGAGAGAGGAAGCACAGGGUGUGUUUUCAGAGCAGUAAGGAGUUGUAACUGAGCACAUCUCUGCUGUUCUCCUCUCAAAUAAAACCAAA